rnacentral:rRNA from 1 species
UACGAAGGGGGCUAGCGUUGCUCGGAAUCACUGGGCGUAAAGGGUGCGUAGGCGGGUCUUAAGUCAGAGGUGAAAUCCUGGAGCUCAACUCCAGAACUGCCUUUGAUACUGAAGGUCUUGAGUUCGGGAGAGGUGAGUGGAACUGCGAGUGUAGAGGUGAAAUUCGUAGAUAUUCGCAAGAACACCAGUGGCGAAGGCGGCUCACUGGCCCGAUACUGACGCUGAGGCACGAAAGCGUGGGGAGCAAACAGG